rnacentral:rRNA from 1 species
UACGUAGGGGGCAAGCGUUGUCCGGAAUCAUUGGGCGUAAAGCGCGUGUAGGCGGCCCGGUAAGUCCGCUGUGAAAGUCCAGGGCUCAACCCUGGAAUGCCGGUGGAUACUGUCGGGCUCGAGUCCGGAAGAGGCGAGUGGAAUUCCUGGUGUAGCGGUGAAAUGCGCAGGUAUCAGGAGGAACACCGAUGGCGAAGGCAGCUCGCUGGGACGGUACUGACGCUGAGACGCGAAAGCGUGGGGAGCAAACAGG